GGAGUCCGAAGUCAAAAGGGAACUAGAGGGCUUGACACAUCCCUUGCAUCUUCCAUUUACUCUGACCACAGUCCCUCCCUGUUCUCACAAGUGGAGCUAAGCCCUGCUUCCCUUCCUCUUGAUUCCCAGCCAGCUACAUGACAAAUUACCUUCGUGGUCCUGGUCCUUUCGUUCCACACAAUUAUCGACUGAGCUGAAGGAGAUCUCCCUAUAGCUGUGAGUAGUAAUGAGGCUUUAGCAUU
rnacentral:lncRNA from 1 species